AUGUUUUUAGUAUUUUUUUAUAUAUUAAAGUACAUAAAUGUAUUAAUUAUUUGCCGUGUUCAAGCCGUGUCGGAUCUUAGAUUUUUUAAAUUUGCCGUGUCAGCGUGUCGCGCGUUGUUGUGUCACCGUGUCAGUGUCCGUGUCCGUGCAACAUAGACACUAUCAGGACAAGCACUUUAACCGACAAAAAAAUUUCGUCGGCCCAUUAGCUUAAUUCGUCGGCUAAGAUUUCGUCGGGAAAAGGUCGUCGACGAUGACUUUAGCCGACGAAAAAAAAAAUUUCGUCGGCUAUAGUCCCACAGUUUAGCCGACGAAAAACAUGUCGUCGGUUUUUUUCCCAGACUUUAGCCAACGAAAUAAUCAAGAUAUUCGUCGGCUAAACCUUAUAAAAAAAAUUUUAAAAAUAACUAUAGCCGACGAAAUAUAGUCUAUUUCGUCGGUUAAGUCUUAUAAAAAAAUUAAAAAAAUAACUAUAGCCGACGAAAUAUAGUCUAUUUCGUCGGCUAAACCUUAUAAAAAAAUUAAAAAAAUAACUAUAGCCGACGAAACAUGCCAUAUUUCGUCGGCUAAACCUUAUAAAAAUAAUUAAAAAAUACUAUAGCCGACGAAUAUAGUAUUUAGAUAUCGUCGGCUAAAGUUGCUGGUUUUUGAAAAAAAAAAAACUGCAGAAACUUCCGGCCACCUCCAAUCACCACCAAAAUUUGACAGAAUCUUCCUCUCAACAUUUCGAACAACUUUCUAGAAGAAGUCGAAGCCCAAUUCUAAGCCUAAAUAGGUCAAUUGAAUCAAAAUAUAAAAAUCCCCAAUUUUAAACCCUAAAAACUUCAAAUCUUCGAUUCUCCUCAUACAUACCGAAUCGAGCUACCAAAUUCUAGGGGAAUGUAGUACUAAUCAAACUCAACUUAUCCAUGUAUAGAACUCACCAAAUGGUGACCUGAGGAAGGAGAAAUUCGAUCGACACCGAAUCCGAACCGGCGGAGUUUUGGAGCUCGAUUUAUCCCUCACGGUGGCGCCACUCGAUGCACCACCUGUCCAGCAAGUGAAGUAGAGACGACGGCGAAGCUUUUGGGACAGUGUGGCGGUCUCCGG
rnacentral:lncRNA from 1 species